AGACCAUAAUCUGAGAUGCGCAGGACAGAAGCCUGCCAACCGCACCCCUGUAAUAAUAAAAAAAUAAAAAAUGAUAUAGAGAUCUGAAGUCUUAAUGCAGGCAGUUCAUCAUAAUGUGAUACGAUUCUGAAGUCAUUCAUGUGUUUGAAAUAUUUUAGUCGGUCAGAUUUUUUCCAAAGAACACUAUUAUCACUACAUUCGUAAACUGCAGUGAAAGCGCCGGGAGAUUUUUGAGCCUUCUAAGAGGACCAAAUCUGAAGUGUGGUCGUAUUUUUGGUUUUACAAGAGUGCCGAGGGAAACUUAAUCGAAGAUGGUCACCCUGUCUCCAGAACAUGCAAAAACAAUCGCUGCGAAAGGGGGCAACACUUCAAAUCUCUUGAGUCAUAUUCGUGAUCACCACCCACUACGUUAUAGCCUACACAAGAGUGGGCGAGCAGCAGGCAAACCCUGUGAUGCUACUGGUCCCUCCUCAUCUACAGUUGUGACACAAACACUCGAGCAAACAUUUAUAAGGCAGGCUGCUUAUGCACCCACAUCAAAAAUGCUCAAGACCUCAUUGCAAAGGACAUGAUGCAAUUUCAAUUUGUUGAGAGGCCUGGCUUUCUGAGGCUGAUGAAGGUUGACGUGCCUCAAUACAAAGUCAGUGCUGCUAAUUUAAUUUGUGGUUUGUUUAUUUGAUUUGCUUACUUAAGGUUGUGUUCAUUUAAAUCUGCACUAGGGAAACUUUUACCUCUCAUGGCCACAUGGUGGCAUCUUUAAUGGUGACGUUAUUAUUUUAAUGUUUAUGCACACACACAUUUCAUAGUGCUGCUAAUGUUCUUUGUUGUUUAUUGGUUUUCAAUAUAAAACUUGGUG